ensembl:lncRNA
AUGACAGAGAAAAAAAGGAUGUCAACUGCUUCUGCAUACACCACAAGAUCACCAAGGUCUGGAAGAAACACACAACUUUCUCUGCAGCAAGGAAUGGAAAGAAACCAGAAAUGGAAUACAAGAGAAGGGUACAAGAAACAGGAAACUGAACAUACAUCCCUUGUUAAAUGCAAACGCAGAAUGACUCCAGAGAUAACUAGAAAUGCCAAGGAUGCAAAGUAAUGUCUUUUUUCCUCUUGAAAUGCACUCUUUAUAAUCUUUAGAAGCCUUAAAUUGGUCAGAAAAAGAAUGAACCUGGUAGAGUAAGACAAAGGGUACAUGGUCAGCAAGCUCAGAGCCUUCGAGAACAUCAUAAGGAAGUCUCUGAUGAUCCUAGAGGAUGGUAAUAAAGACACAAAUUGUAUUUGCUUAACCUCCCAUUUUCUGCCUUGCAACUGUGACUUUGCUUUUUAAAUGACAGUACAUUUUAAUUAAUGCAUUAUAAUCAGUGUACAAGAAAUUUGGGCUUUCUCUGAUAUUCACACUUAGUCAAACACUUUACAUUGUGCCUCUUCAAAGCCAAAGCCUCACUUCCUGGUGGUAAAAUUCUGAUUGUAAGCAGAGUAUCUAAGUCAAAAGAUAAAUUGCCUACAAAACUCAACACACUGAGAUAUGUCACUUCUGGGUAGAGAUGAUGAAUUGAAUACCGGCAUUUACUUAAAAUACUUUCAUUAUUCACUAAUACCUACCAUAGUAUCCACAAUGAGAACUUUUUUUUGGUAAGUCUUAAGCCCCAAAUGGUCCCUGGAAUUAUGUGGCUGUCAAAUAGAAAACUUUGGGAAACCAGGAAACCAAGUAGCUUCUUCAAAAGACUCAUGGUGGGAAUAUUGCUAUUGGCACUAUGGAGCAUGUUACCUAUUCUGAUUACAUUAGAGAAGUGGUAGAAUACAAAUACAUACCUCCAGUACAGUUAUGAGCAGAUAAGAAAGGGAAUUCUGUGAUUACCAUAAAAUAAUAUGUUUAUUUUAUGAAUCAAUUUGAUUUCUCAUCCUUGUCAAUUUCUUAUGCGAGUGUUAGGUCAUUAAUAGAAAAUGAAUGAUUCCCUGAGAAUUGGAAUGAAAAAAUUUGGGUGGAUUCAGAUGAAUCUGAGUAUCUGAACCUCCCCAUAAAUUUCUUUAAGACUUCCUCACUAGCAAAUACUUCUCCUCAAUCCCUCUCUGAGGAAGCUAGCUUCUCCUAGCUUGAGUAUACUGUAAUAACCUUACAUUACAAGCGAUGCUUAUUUGCAAAAGAUCCACCCAUUCUCCAGACCCAUAGUACCAUCUGGUCCAACCUAAUCAAGGGAAAUGAGUACUAAGUCUGACAUGAGAGGGGUCAGUUUAUACUCUGAAAUAAUUGCAAAAUGUAGUUAGCUUAUACCAGCAGAAAUUAAGAUAUAUGAGCAGAAAUGGAAUAUAAGUAUAUUUGUCCAUUGUGGAAGGAAAAUAACUUUGGAAUGGCCAAAUGUAUCAAUAUGGGUGUACUCAUGAGAGAUUCUGAAUUCCAUAUGUUAGCUUGAGCAAAUGGGAAAUGUUGCAUAAUUUGCUCACGAAAGCUGGACUCCAUAUUAGUCUACAUCAAAGGAAGCUGAGAUGUCAGCUUUUACUUGUUAUAAUGUAGAAGGAUAAAUCUGAAGGCUUAGGGGAACAGGAAUGUUGGAGUAGAUUUAUAAUGUGUGAGUGACUCACCCAUCUCCUCAUUGUGUGUCCUAGGAGAGCUCAGAGGACAUUCUUUUCAAAGAAGCAUGAAGGAGUAUUUUGGUGAGGGAAGCAUCAUCACCUUGGAGACACCCUCUGCAGGAUGGAAUGAUAGUGGGUUCUCUUGGGGAAAUACCCUGCUAUGCUGUCAUGAAUGUGUACUCUUAAUCCUCCUUCUUUCCUUUCUCAAAGGGAGCUGGAGUCAUCAGGUAGAGAAACUGUGCCUUUCAGAAAAGGAGGUAGGCUAUUUGUGAUGACGGAAUCCUGAUUCUGAGCCGACACAAAUCUUGAGGGAGUCAAGUUGCCUUGAAAUCCAGCAGUCACAGUGGGGACGUAGCAGAGCUGGGUAAUAAAUAGAUUUCUGGCCUGACUCUGUUGCCUGGUGUAUCCAGUGGGUCCACACAUGUAUCUGGAUUUCAUUUCCCAUUUUUGCAUAUGCCAUUAGGAGAGACAGACUUGGCAAGUGGCAGAAUGACCUCAUUAGUUAAUAAACCAAUAUCCUUUCGUAAAACUGCCUGGAAAUGUUCGCAAUCUGUGUUCAACUGAGUUCACCAUAACCUUUCUUCUCUUCAAAAGGAAACCAUACCUUUCACCCAUUCCAAAUGUGAUUAGAGCAUACUUAACUGGAUUAUAAAAUUGUGAGCACCCAAAAAGUUAUAUCUGUGGACAUCGUUUAGGUGGGGGAAAAGCUUCAGUAUCCUCUAGGUCUUUUUGUCUUCCUCCGUCUUGCAAAUAUUUCUAAUGGGAGUGAACGUAAGCACAUGUUAAAUAUUCUGAAUUUGGAACAACUAAAGCAGUAGAGUGACACUGAUUUUUCUAAAUAUAAUUAAAAGGCUCUCAUGGGCUAUAGGGUUUUUUCCCCCCCAGUUUCUCUUCAUAUUGCAGAAAAACAAUAAACAAAGUUUAAUGUAAUUUCUUUCAAAUAGAGUGUGCAUGAUUCAAUAAACACUAAGACCUAGUUAACACAUUGUGUCACAAAAUAUUCCAAUUAUGAAUCCAUCCUUAUAUACUAUCUCUUAAGAAAAAAAUAACUUGUAAUGCUAUAUUUGAAAAAAUUUAAAGAUGUGUGAAAACAUAUAUAGUUUUCUAGAAUUCCAGGACUGAGUAAGCAAGCGGAACUUUUGCUACUUCAGAUCAUAUCGCAUGGAGUAUCAGUACACGGUAGAUUGAAAUGCACACAGGACAGGAUACCAAAUUCAAAAUUCACUCCCAAAUCUGGUCAUUAUGGAUGCAGUGAUUUCAGUACACUGCCUGCACUGAUAUCAAAG